rnacentral:rRNA from 1 species
UACGAGGGGGGCAAGCGUUGUUCGGAAUUAUUGGGCGUAAAGGGUGCGUAGGCGGGUCUUUAAGUCCGGGGUGAAAUCCUGGAGCUCAACUCCAGAACUGCCUUUGAUACUGAAGAUCUUGAGUUCGGGAGAGGUGAGUGGAACUGCGAGUGUAGAGGUGAAAUUCGUAGAUAUUCGCAAGAACACCAGUGGCGAAGGCGGCUCACUGGCCCGAUACUGACGCUGAGGCACGAAAGCGUGGGGAGCAAACAGG